rnacentral:rRNA from 1 species
AUUGAACGCUGGCGGAAUGCUUUACACAUGCAAGUCGAACGGCAGCACGGGUGCUUGCACCUGGUGGCGAGUGGCGAACGGGUGAGUAACAUAUCGGAACGUGCCCAGUAAUGGGGGAUAACUAACCGAAAGGUUAGCUAAUACCGCAUACGCCCCGAGGGGGAAAGCGGGGGAUCGAAAGACCUCGCGUUAUUGGAGCGGCAGAUAUCUGAUUAGCUAGUUGGUAGGGUAAAGGCCUACCAAGGCGACGAUCAGUAGCUGGUCUGAGAGGAUGAUCAGCCACACUGGGACUGAGACACGGCCCAGACUCCUACGGGAGGCAGCAGUGGGGAAUUUUGGACAAUGGGCGAAAGCCUGAUCCAGCCAUUCCGCGUGAGUGAAGAAGGCCUUCGGGUUGUAAAGCUCUUUCGGCAGGAACGAAACGCUCUAGAUUAAUACUCUGGGGUAAUGACGGUACCUGAAGAAGAAGCACCGGCUAACUACGUGCCAGCCGCCGCCGUAA